CUGAGAGGAUGACCAGCCACACUGGAACUGAGACACGGUCCAGACUCCUACGGGAGGCAGCAGUGGGGAAUAUUGCACAAUGGGCGCAAGCCUGAUGCAGCCAUGCCGCGUGUAUGAAGAAGGCCUUCGGGUUGUAAAGUACUUUCAGCGGGGAGGAAGGGAGUAAAGUUAAUACCUUUGCUCAUUGACGUUACCCGCAGAAGAAGCACCGGCUAACUCCGUGCCAGCAGCCGCGGUAAUACGGAGGGUGCAAGCGUUAAUCGGAAUUACUGGGCGUAAAGCGCACGCAGGCGGUUUGUUAAGUCAGAUGUGAAAUCCCCGGGCUCAACCUGGGAACUGCAUCUGAUACUGGCAAGCUUGAGUCUCGUAGAGGGGGGUAGAAUUCCAGGUGUAGCGGUGAAAUGCGUAGAGAUCUGGAGGAAUACCGGUGGCGAAGGCGGCCCCCUGGACGAAGACUGACGCUCAGGUGCGAAAGCGUGGGGAGCAAACAGGAUUA
rnacentral:rRNA from 1 species